rnacentral:rRNA from 1 species
UAGGGAAUCUUCGGCAAUGGACGGAAGUCUGACCGAGCAACGCCGCGUGAGUGAAGAAGGUUUUCGGAUCGUAAAACUCUGUUGUAAGAGAAGAACGAGUGUGAGAGUGGAAAGUUCACACUGUGACGGUAUCUUACCAGAAAGGGACGGCUAACUACGUGCCAGCAGCCGCGGUAAUACGUAGGUCCCGAGCGUUGUCCGGAUUUAUUGGGCGUAAAGCGAGCGCAGGCGGUUUGAUAAGUCUGAAGUUAAAGGCUGUGGCUCAACCAUAGUUCGCUUUGGAAACUGUCAAACUUGAGUGCAGAAGGGGAGAGUGGAAUUCCAUGUGUAGCGGUGAAAUGCGUAGAUAUAUGGAGGAACACCGGUGGCGAAAGCGGCUCUCUGGUCUGUAACUGACGCUGAGGCUCGAAAGCGUGGGGAGCGAACAGGAUUAGAUACCCUGGUAGUCCACGCCGUAACGAUGAGUGCUAGGUGUUGGAUCCUUUCCGGGAUUCAGUGCCGCAGCUAACGCAUUAAGCACUCCGCCUGGGGAGUACGACCGCAAGGUUG